rnacentral:tRNA from 1 species
GGGCCAAUAGCUCAGUAGGUUAGAGCAUCGGACUCAUAAUCCGCAGGUCGGUGGUUCGAGCCCACCUUGGCCCA